rnacentral:rRNA from 1 species
UACGUAGGGUGCGAGCGUUAAUCGGAAUUACUGGGCGUAAAGCGUGCGCAGGCGGUUUGAUAAGACAGGCGUGAAAUCCCCGAGCUCAACUUGGGAAUGGCGCUUGUGACUGUCAGGCUAGAGUAUGUCAGAGGGGGGUAGAAUUCCACGUGUAGCAGUGAAAUGCGUAGAGAUGUGGAGGAAUACCGAUGGCGAAGGCAGCCCCCUGGGACGUCACUGACGCUCAUGCACGAAAGCGUGGGGAGCAAACAGG